UAGCUCAGCGGCAUAAGCACCUGCCUUGCAAGCAGGCAGUCAUGAGUUCGAUCCCCAU
rnacentral:tRNA from 1 species